rnacentral:rRNA from 1 species
UACGGAGGGGCUAGCGUUGUUCGGAAUUACUGGGCGUAAAGCGCACGUAGGCGGCUUUGUAAGUUAGAGGUGAAAGCCCGGGGCUCAACUCCGGAAUUGCCUUUAAGACUGCAUCGCUAGAAUUGUGGAGAGGUGAUGUGGAAUUCCGAGUGUAGAGGUGAAAUUCGUAGAUAUUGGAAGAACACCAGUGGCGAAGGCGACUCACUGGACACAUAUUGACGCUGAGGUGCGAAAGCGUGGGGAGCAAACAGGAUUAAGAUACCCCGGGUAGUACCGA